ACGUAAACAUGUAAGUUGUCAGUUGUGAGCCAAAUUCCACGGUGGCGGGUUACUACACGGGUCCGUAACAUACUUACCACCAAAAUAGUUAAAUGGAACUAUUGUAUUACUACAAAUUAUGUAGUUGUGUAAUAAAAUAAUUAAUAUUAGUGUUUGUGGCAAAGUUUAAGUAGUUUAAGUGAUGUAAAGUUCGACUAACGGUAUUGUGCCAGUGCGUUCUGCGCUUUGUGGGUUUGGGUUACACAGACAAGACAGCCACCCGACUCCGUCUGUACUUCUGGACCAUGAGAUUUGUGAUUUGACACAGCCUUACGAACGAAAACCAAAUAUGGAGACGCGGUGGAGCUACGUUAUAUUAUGGACAGUUCUCUGCUUUCAGUCAGGGUCCUCGAACAGGCUGCCGGUGUUCACACACGACAUGAACAACCUGGCGUUGUCAGAGAGAGCACUCCAGUGGGCACAGUUGUUUAUACACUGCAAGGGACGGACCCUGAUGGAUUACCU